AGUGGCGCACGGGUGAGUAACGCGUAAGUUAUCUACCUCGGCAUCUGGAAUAACUCACCGAAAGGUGUGCUAAUACCGGAUACGUUGAGUAAUCAAGAAAGGUGGCCUCUGAAUAUGCUACUGUGCUGAGAUGAGCUUGCGUACCAUUAGCUAGUUGGUAGGGUAAUGGCCUACCAAGGCGACGAUGGUUAGCGGGUCUGAGAGGAUGAUCCGCCACACUGGAACUGGAACACGGACCAGACUCCUACGGGAGGCAGCAGUGAGGAAUAUUGCGCAAUGGGGGCAACCCUGACGCAGCGACGCCGCGUGGAUGAUGAAGGCCUUCGGGUCGUAAAAUCCUGUCAAGUGGAAAGAAGUGCAUGGUGGCUAAUACCUGCUGUGUUUGACGGUACCACUGAAGGAAGCACCGGCUAACUCCGUGCCAGCAGCCGCGGUAAUACGGAGGGUGCAAGCGUUGUUCGGAAUUACUGGGCGUAAAGCGCGCGUAGGCGGUUUUAUAAGUCAGAUGUGAAAGCCCUCGGCUCAACCGGGGACGUGCAUUUGAAACUGUGAGACUUGAGUAUUGGAGGGGGUGGUGGAAUUCCCGGUGUAGAGGUGAAAUUCGUAGAUAUCGGGAGGAAUACCAGUGGCGAAGGCGACCACCUGGCCAAAUACUGACGCUCAUGUGCGAAAGCGUGGGGAGCAAACAGGAUUAGAUACCCUGGUAGUCCACGCCGUAAACGAUGUCAACUAGGUGUUGGGACGG
rnacentral:rRNA from 1 species